rnacentral:lncRNA from 1 species
UUUGGGUAAAGAAUGAAUCACUGCUUGCACUUACUACUAAUAAAUGAGUAUAUUACCAGUAGACUUAAGCUCUCUGAUUAUGUUUGAUAUAUCUCGCAGAUGCUACCAUAUUGUAACAUUUGAGCAUUUCUUAUAGGUAUCAAACUUGAUAGUAAGCCUUCUUAAUAUGGAAGCUAAAGUACCUCCAAAGGGUUCCUUUAGAGCUUCUCACAAUGCAUGUGCAGUCUCAUACUUCUCAUAUUCACAAAUUAUGUCAUUCUUCAUACUACUUUGC